rnacentral:rRNA from 1 species
ACGCUCGACACCUACGGGAGGCAGCAGUUGGGAAUAUUGGACAAUGGAGGAAACUCUGAUCCAGUGACGCCGCGUGAAGGAAGAAGGUCUUCGGAUUGUAAACUUAUUUUGUCAGGGGAGAAAAAAUGACUGUACCUGAAGAAAAAGCACCGGCUAACUACGUGCUAGCAGCCGCGGUAAUCUGAGCGGGCUGGCAAGGC